GGUUAAGCGACUAAGCGUACACGGUGGAUGCCCUGGCAGUCAGAGGCGAUGAAGGACGUGCUAAUCUGCGAAAAGCGUCGGUAAGGUGAUAUGAACCGUUAUAACCGGCGAUGUCCGAAUGGGGAAACCCAGUGCAAUUCGUUGCACUAUCGUUAACUGAAUACAUAGGUUAACGAGGCGAACCGGGGGAACUGAAACAUCUAAGUACCCCGAGGAAAAGAAAUCAACCGAGAUUCCCCCAGUAGCGGCGAGCGAACGGGGAGCAGCCCAGAGUCUGAAUCAGCUUGUGUGUUAGUGGAACGGUCUGGAAAGUCCGACGGUACAGGGUGAUAGUCCCGUACACCAAAAUGCACAGGCUGUGAACUCGAAGAGUAGGGCGGGACACGUGGUAUCCUGUCUGAAUAUGGGGGGACCAUCCUCCAAGGCUAAAUACUCCUGACUGACCGAUAGUGAACCAGUACCGUGAGGGAAAGGCGAAAAGAACCCCGGCGAGGGGAGUGAAAAAGAACCUGAAACCGUGUACGUACAAGCAGUGGGAGCACCUUCGGGUGUGACUGCGUACCUUUUGUAUAAUGGGUCAGCGACUUAUAUUCUGUAGCAAGGUUAACCGUAUAGGGGAGCCGCAGGGAAACCGAGUCUUAACUGGGCGUUAAGUUGCAGGGUAUAGACCCGAAACCCGGUGAUCUAGCCAUGGGCAGGUUGAAGGUUGGGUAACACUAACUGGAGGACCGAACCGACUAAUGUUGAAAAAUUAGCGGAUGACUUGUGGCUGGGGGUGAAAGGCCAAUCAAACCGGGAGAUAGCUGGUUCUCCCCGAAAGCUAUUUAGGUAGCGCCUCGUGAACUCAUCUUCGGGGGUAGAGCACUGUUUCGGCUAGGGGGUCAUCCCGACUUACCAACCCGAUGCAAACUACGAAUACCGAAGAAUGUUAUCACGGGAGACACACGGCGGGUGCUAACGUCCGUCGUGAAGAGGGAAACAACCCAGACCGCCAGCUAAGGUCCCAAAGUCAUGGUUAAGUGGGAAACGAUGUGGGAAGGCACAGACAGCCAGGAUGUUGGCUUAGAAGCAGCCAUCAUUUAAAGAAAGCGUAAUAGCUCACUGGUCGAGUCGGCCUGCGCGGAAGAUGUAACGGGGCUAAACCAUGCACCGAAGCUGCGGCAGCGACACUAUGUGUUGUUGGGUAGGGGAGCGUUCUGUAAGCCUGCGAAGGUGACCUGUGAGGGUUGCUGGAGGUAUCAGAAGUGCGAAUGCUGACAUAAGUAACGAUAAAGCGGGUGAAAAGCCCGCUCGCCGGAAGACCAAGGGUUCCUGUCCAACGUUAAUCGGGGCAGGGUGAGUCGACCCCUAAGGCGAGGCCGAAAGGCGUAGUCGAUGGGAAACAGGUUAAUAUUCCUGUACUUGGUGUUACUGCGAAGGGGGACGGAGAAGGCUAUGUUAGCCGGGCGACGGUUGUCCCGGUUUAAGCAUGUAGGCUGGUUGUCCAGGCAAAUCCGGAUAAUCAAGGCUGAGGUGUGAUGACGAGGCACUACGGUGCUGAAGUAACAAAUGCCCUGCUUCCAGGAAAAGCCUCUAAGCAUCAGGUAACAUUAAAUCGUACCCCAAACCGACACAGGUGGUCAGGUAGAGAAUACCAAGGCGCUUGAGAGAACUCGGGUGAAGGAACUAGGCAAAAUGGUGCCGUAACUUCGGGAGAAGGCACGCUGGUGUGUAGGUGAAGUCCCUGCGGAUGGAGCUGAGACCAGUCGAAGAUACCAGCUGGCUGCAACUGUUUAUUAAAAACACAGCACUGUGCAAACACGAAAGUGGACGUAUACGGUGUGACGCCUGCCCGGUGCCGGAAGGUUAAUUGAUGGGGUUAUCCGUAAGGAGAAGCUCUUGAUCGAAGCCCCGGUAAACGGCGGCCGUAACUAUAACGGUCCUAAGGUAGCGAAAUUCCUUGUCGGGUAAGUUCCGACCUGCACGAAUGGCGUAAUGAUGGCCAGGCUGUCUCCACCCGAGACUCAGUGAAAUUGAACUCGCUGUGAAGAUGCAGUGUACCCGCGGCAAGACGGAAAGACCCCGUGAACCUUUACUAUAGCUUGACACUGAACAUUGAGCCUUGAUGUGUAGGAUAGGUGGGAGGCUUUGAAGCGUGGACGCCAGUCUGCGUGGAGCCAACCUUGAAAUACCACCCUUUAAUGUUUGAUGUUCUAACGUUGGCCCCUGACCGGGGUUGCGGACAGUGUCUGGUGGGUAGUUUGACUGGGGCGGUCUCCUCCCAAAGCGUAACGGAGGAGCACGAAGGUUAGCUAAUCCUGGUCGGACAUCAGGAGGUUAGUGCAAUGGCAUAAGCUAGCUUGACUGCGAGCGUGACGGCGCGAGCAGGUGCGAAAGCAGGUCAUAGUGAUCCGGUGGUUCUGAAUGGAAGGGCCAUCGCUCAACGGAUAAAAGGUACUCCGGGGAUAACAGGCUGAUACCGCCCAAGAGUUCAUAUCGACGGCGGUGUUUGGCACCUCGAUGUCGGCUCAUCACAUCCUGGGGCUGAAGUAGGUCCCAAGGGUAUGGCUGUUCGCCAUUUAAAGUGGUACGCGAGCUGGGUUUAGAACGUCGUGAGACAGUUCGGUCCCUAUCUGCCGUGGGCGCUGGAGAAUUGAGGGGGGGCUGCUCCUAGUACGAGAGGACCGGAGUGGACGCAUCACUGGUGUUCGGGUUGUCAUGCCAAUGGCACUGCCCGGUAGCUAAAUGCGGAAGAGAUAAGUGCUGAAAGCAUCUAAGCACGAAACUUGCCCCGAGAUGAGUUCUCCCUGAGACUUUAAGUCUCCUGAAGGAACGUUAAAGACGAUGACGUUGAUAGGCCGGGUGUGUAAGCGCAGCGAUGCGUUGAGCUAACCGGUACUAAUGAACCGUGAGGCUUAACCUU
rnacentral:rRNA from 1 species